rnacentral:rRNA from 1 species
UACAGAGGGUGCGAGCGUUGUUCGGAAUUACUGGGCGUAAAGCGCGCGUAGGUGGUGUGUUAAGUCUGCCGGUCAAAUGCCGAGGCUCAACCUCGGAUCGGCCGUGGCGACUCGUGGGCUGGAGCACUGUAGAGGCGGGUGGAAUUCCGGGUGUAGCGGUGGAAUGCGUAGAGAUCCGGAAGAACACCAGUGGCGAAGGCGGCCCGCUGGGCAGUGGCUGACGCUGAGGCGCGACAGCGUGGGGAGCAACAGG